UUUCAGGUUGCUUCUGCACUUCAUGAUAAUUGUAGAGCUGUUCUUGUUGGAAAACGCACAUAUGGCAAGGGUCUAAUCCAAUCUGUAUUUGAGCUUGAUGAUGGAUCUGGUGUGGUUAUCACUGUUGGGAAGUAUGUAACACCAAAUCACAAGGACAUAAACGGCAAUGGAAUAGAGCCUGACUUCCAGAAACUUCCAGCAUGGGAUGAUAUCAGCCGACAUCU